AGCAUCAGAUGUGUAUCAGAGACAGCAUGGGAUAUAAGCACAGGAAUAUAUAAGCAGCAAGAUUACAGUCAACCGACUCUGAAAAUUAAAAAUGGCAGACAUAGUGAGGCCGGCAAAGCCCCAGUCACAUCCCCUUC